UACGGGGGGGGCAAGCGUUGUUCGGAAUUACUGGGCGUAAAGGGCGCGUAGGCGGCCAUCUAAGUCAGACGUGAAAUCCCUCGGCUCAACCGAGGAACUGCGUCUGAUACUGGAAGGCUUGAAUCCGGGAGAGGGAUGUGGAAUUCCAGGUGUAGCGGUGAAAUGCGUAGAUAUCUGGAGGAACACCGGGUGGCGAAGGCGGCAUCCUGGACCGGUAUUGACGCUGAGGCGCGAAAAGCUAGGGGGAGCAAACGGGG
rnacentral:rRNA from 1 species